UUUUGGGGGUAGAUUCGAGUUACAAAAUGGCCGCCCGGAGCGUGUUCGGCGCGGUUCCCCCAGCUGUCUCUGGCUGAACCGGCGCUCUCGCCUCCCUGCCGAACACAGCGUGAGGAGCCCCCCCAGGGAUAUGGUGUUUGAGUCUCUGGGCUUGCCGAGCACUAAGUCCUCUGAGUUCCGCAGCGCAGCACCGGAAGCGGCCGAGCGCGCUCAGCCCGGCGACCCCUGCGGGCUCCAGACCCCUGCGCCGCUGCGCCCCGGGUUUCGCCGCAACCAAGACCCAGCGAGUGCAGCGGCGGCCGCCGAGGAGAUGGAGUCUUGCUCUGUCACAUAGGCUGGAGUGCAUUGGCGCGAUCUCAGCUCACUGCAACCUCCACCUCCUGGGUUCAAGAGAUUCUCCUGCCUCAGCCUCCGGAGUAGCUGGGAUUACAGGUUCGAAAACAUGGCCAAAAGAAAUGCCGAGAAGGAACUGACAGAUAGGAAUUGGGAUCAAGAAGAUGAAGCUGAAGAGGUGGGAACAUUCUCCAUGGCCAGUGAGGAAGUCUUGAAGAAUAGAGCCAUAAAGAAAGCAAAGCGCAG
rnacentral:lncRNA from 1 species